CGUCCUCUAGAAUGGUCCCCAAAUCCCCCUGGCUGCCACAUCCUGUGACACUCUCCCACAAUGCAUAGUCUGGCCUGGGUAACAAGCAGGGUGUGGCAGACAUAACAGAGCGAGUUCCCAGGCUGGCUGGAAAUGACACCAGGGCCUUGUCCCGCCCUCUCGUAGACGGCCCUCUCUGGUCAUCCUGAUGGAGGAUGCUCCGGCCAGCCCUGGAGAGACAAACCUGGGGACGGAGGCUUUGUGCAGCCCUCCAGGCAGUCACCAAGCUCCAUCAGUACUGAGCACCUAACAGCAGCUCACGCUUGGCGGCCACCACGCCAGAGUCACAGAGAGGAGCCACACAGACAUGGCGGUGCUGUCGGGCUGCAUUCCCAGGGAGUCGCUGAAACAGACAAAUCUUGUCCAAGAUGGGCAGCCCGGGCCGGGGGGCGCUGAGCAAGGAAGACAAUCGGAGAGCAGCAGGCGGAGGGGCGGU